AUAAUAAGUAAAUAAUCAAACAAUUAUGAUGGUCUUCAAACAAGGAAUAACUAAUAAUUGGUAUAUCACAGAUCACUAUUAUUUCUAUUUAUUUAGUUAAAUAAAAGAUUAUGUUAACACUUUUAGCUGCCAUGAUCAAAUUAUAAGAUAUUAGUUAUCUACUUCAUUAAUGAAGAACUUCAAGCAUUUCUCAAGAUCAACAACAGCAAUCAUAGUAAUUGACAAAUGAAAAAAAACAACUUUGUUGUAUAUUUAUACUUUCUGGUAUAAGAUAAUGAAAUUCAAAUCAAAUGAAUCUUAAUCAUGAAUCUUAAUCGUCUUCACAAAGGAUAUUUGAGAGUUGAAAAUGAAUACAAAAAAACAGUCAUUCUUUUAAUUGGAUACGAAGACCAACUUUUCUGAUUUUAUUUUUAUAUUUUCUUGUUAUAUUAACGAAGGACUUGAAUAAGUUCAUUACCAAACAAUUUUAUAAAAGAAUAAUCAAUCCAUGCAACUGCUUUUUACAGUGAGUUCUUAAAAUGUAUGUUGUGCUGUCACAUCAUUGUCCGAGGUAGGGGGAGGGUUGGGUUCUUACAAACAUGUUUAACACUACCACAUUCUGUAAGUGCCUCUUCCAUUUCAGUAAAUCAGUGGUUGUUGUUUUUGCCGUCUGAAUAGACACUUAUAGUUGCCAGCUUCUAUGCCAUUUAGUCUCUGGUGGAAAGUUGUCUCAUUGGUAAUCUUACCCCAUUUUUUUAAUUUAAUUAAGCAAUAGUAAUCAAGCAAUUUUUAAGAAAUUUUAAAUGUAUUCUCUUGUGUUUUAUAUUAUUAAAUGUUAAAUAAAUGUAAUAAAGGUUUAUUGUUAACAAUAAAAGAAAAACUU
rnacentral:lncRNA from 1 species